ensembl:snRNA U1 U1 spliceosomal RNA
AUACUUACCUGGCUGGGGAGGUAGCAUGGUACUCAGAUAUGCUGACCUUUGCAAUUUCUCCAAAUAUGGGAAACUCAACUGUAUAAUUUGUGGUAGUGAGGAACAGGAUUUCUUCUUCCUCU